GACCCCGGAGAGCCGCCGGGAAGUCGGCGCCCCGGCCCGGGCUCCGCGCGCACAACCGCUAGCUGCGCCUUUUGACAAGACUAUUUAUCUGUACCCCUCGGAACAAACCACCACGGGCAAAGAAGAGGGAGUUGGAACGAGAGCUAAGCGGCAGCAAUAGAUAGUAAAGAACUUCAAAUCACCAGGCUGUCUACUGAUAUUCUGAGCUACCCAGCUGGCUGAAGAAAUUGCCCAUCUUUUGAUCUAGAAAAAUGAACAGUCUAGAUCAGCACCGGCCAAUUCAGAAGCCACUAGCCUCACGAGGCUCUUGAGCGCUAUGUGGAUAGUCAUCACAGUGUUGUAAAAUACAUCAUAUUUUGAAGACACUAUGAAUAAAAUAGUGUGAACUCUCCCAGUAAUAGUUUAAAAAAUUAUGUGUCAAACUGAUAUUUUGAAUAUAUUGUAUUAAAGGAAAUACAUUAUUAAAAUUAA